rnacentral:ncRNA from 2 species
GUGUACAGUGCCUUUCACAAGGAGGUGUCAUUUAUGUGAACUAAAAUAUAAAUGUCACCUUUUUGAGAGGAGUAAUGUACAGCA